CUCUCCAGAUCACCCUUCAUGUGCUUCAAACCUUCCAAAUCCUUGGUCGGCGACCAAGCCUCCACCGCGCCGAAGCUCAUCACCGACGGCGGCGGAGCUCCAAACACCAAAAUCCAUCGCCAAACUAAUUGUCACCACCUCACGGUCCUAAAUCCAAUGUCCAAAUGAAUUCAACCUAAACCUACUCAUCGGAUCGAGCUCAAAGGUGCAAGAACCCUAAAACGAUUUUCCAGAAAUUAAAUGCUUCAUGAUGAAGAUUAAAGGUUACCAGGUUAGGGCUUGGAUCUCCCAAACCUCAUACUAUGCUAUGGUAACUACAUCGGAGCGGAACCAGAAAGUUGAACAGAAUACCUGUCGGACACGAUGUCGAAGACGACGAUGAUAUAAACGAUGACCUCAGGAUGAAUGGAACAUGACCAACCAAGACACAUAACCGAUGCCCAAAGGGAAAGGCCAUUAACUUCAUUGAGGAAUAUGCAGAGCUUUUAUGCACACCAUGGAUUUCAAUAGGAUUACUUGAGAUUUGCAGAGCUUUCAUUGGUUUGCUUGACUUGUCAUGGUGAAGAGUUGUCACUGACCAUUGGGAUUAUUUUGAACUGUUUACUCAGUAUUGAUGCAGGACACUUGCUGCACUAGUUUUUGGUUGCUGCACUGAUGUUGCCCAUGCCAUUCACUUUGAGAUGCCUUAUUGCAUUGUAGAUGAACUGAAACAAGAGAACCCCAUGGUUUUAUGCUUGAGGCUUAGACAUGGUUGCCAUUAGUCAAAUGUAGAUUGAGUAUUAAGGCAAGGUCUUGGCUUUUUUUGGCAUGAUGAUGGUGUUCUUGUGGAUGCAGCAGGAUCAUAGCAGGUCAAUAUGCCUUGCAAGGAUUGUUGAUGCACAAUUAUUUGAUGGUGGUCUGAUGUGAAUUACUGACCUGUGUGCUUGCUCCAGCCUGUUGCUCAUGGCUCUUGUUUCCUACUGACUUGUAGUAUGAUUUUGUUUGAUGUGCAACCUUGGUUUGCUAGGUUUUCUACUUGAUGAACCCUGUGCAAGCCUUGGUUUGUUAGGUCACAUUAUGUGUAGGUAUGAAGGGCAAUGCUUUAUGGGACCAAGGCAUGUUGGUUUUAACUUAGUGAUUUUGCAGAAUGUGAUCCUUGGCUUCAUGUGGUUUAGUAGGAUCAUAGCAGGUUAUGGCUUCAUGGAGAAUGAUGGUUGAACCAACAUGGUUAAGCAAAGGCUUGGAGUAUGGCAUUAAAAUGGGAUCUUAAAGUUACAUGUACAAAAGCCAAACCAGAGAUCAAAAUAGGAUUUGAAACUUAGGAUUAUGAUCAGAGAUUGGGGAUUUAGUGUUUUCGGGAUGGGGUUUGUUCGAAGUUGACCAAAAAGUCAACUAUUGACCAAAGUCAACCUUGGUCAACACUUCAAAUUUUGUGUACAUUUUGUUCUUCUCUCUUC